AGAGUUUGAUCCUGGCUCAGGAUGAACGCUAGCGGCGCGCUUAACGCAUGCAAGUCGAGCGAUGAGGCUUCCUUCGGGGAGUACAUCAGCGGCAGACGGGUGAGUAACACGUAGAUAACCUGCCCUCAAGACGGGGACAACCGGUGGAAACGGCGGCUAAUACCCGAUAUGCUCACAGUCUCGGGAGAGGGAGUGAGGAAAGGCUCAGGUGCUUGAGGAGGGGUCUGCGGCCCAUCAGCUAGUUGGUGAGGUAACGGCUCACCAAGGCAAGGACGGGUAGGGGGCGUGAGAGCACGGCCCCCCACAAUGGGACUGAGACACGGCCCAUACUUCUACGGAAGGCAGCAGCGGGGAAUAUUGCGCAAUGGACGGAAGUCAGACGCAGCGACGCCGCGUGGGUGACGAAGGCCUUCGGGUUGUAAAGCCCUUUUCUGGGGGAGGAGGAAGGACAGUACCUUAGGAAUAAGCGUCGGCUAACUACGUGCCAGCAGCCGCGGUAAGACGUAGGGCGCAAGCGUUAUCCGGAUUUACUGGGCGUAAAGCGCCUGUAGGCGGUGAUAUAAGUCGGAUGUGAAAGCCCCGUGCUCAACGCGGGGAAGCCAUUCGAUACUGUGUGACUAGAGGGCGGCAGAGGGAAACGGAAUUUCUGGUGUAGCGGUAAAAUGCGCAGAGAUCAGAAAGAACACCAAUGGCGAAGGCAGUUUCCUAGGCCGCACCUGACGCUGAGAGGCGAAAGCUAGGGGAGCGAACAGGAUUAGAGACCCUGGUAGUCCUAGCUGUAAACGCUGGAUGCUAGGUGUAGGUCGUAGAGAUCUGUGCCGGAGUUAACGCGAUAAGCAUCCCGCCUGGGGAGUACGGCCGCAAGGCUAAAACUCAAACGAAUUGACGGGGACCCGCACAAGCAGCGGAGCGUGUGGUUUAAUUCGAUGCUACACGAAGAACCUUACCUGGGCUUGACAUGUAGGUGGUAGCGAAGUGAAAGCGGAGCGACCCUUCGGGGAGCCUACACAGGUGCUGCAUGGCUGUCGUCAGCUCGUGCCGUGAGGUGUCGGGUUAAGUCCCGUAACGAGCGCAACCCUUGUCCUUAGUUACAAGUGUCUAAGGAGACUGCCGGUGACAAACCGGAGGAAGGUGGGGAUGACGUCAAGUCAGCAUGGCCCUUAUGUCCAGGGCGACACACACGCUACAAUGGUCGGUACAAUGGGCAGCGCAGCCGCGAGGUGAAGCGAAUCCCAACAAAGCCGAUCCCAGUUCGGAUUGCAGGCUGCAACCCGCCUGCAUGAAGCCGGAGUUGCUAGUAACCGCGCGUCAGCCAUAGUGCGGUGAAUACGUACCCGGGUCUUGUACACACCGCCCGUCACGUCAUGGGAGUUGGCAACGCCUGAAGCCGGUAGCCUGACCUAACGGAGGGCGCCGUCGAAGGCGGGGCUAGCAACUGGGACGAAGUCGUAACAAGGUAACC
rnacentral:rRNA from 1 species